rnacentral:snRNA from 1 species
GUGCUCACUUCGGCAACAUAUAUACUAAAAUUGGAAUGAUACACAGAAGAUUAGCAUGGUCCCUGCGCAAAGAUGACAGGCAAAUUCGUGAAGCAUUCCAUAUUUUU